AUUGAACGCUGGCGGCAGGCCUAACACAUGCAAGUCGAGCGGAGCGGCGGACGGGGGAGUAAUGCCUGUGAAUCUGCCUGGUCGUGGGGGAUAACGUCCGGAAACGGGCGCAAAUGCCGCAUACUAGCAGAUGAGCCGAGGUCGGAUUUGCUAGUUGGUGGGGUAAAGGCCGACCAAGGCGACGAUGAGUAACUGGUCUGAGAGGAUGAUCAGUCAGACUGGAACUGAGACACGGCCCAGACUCCUACGGGAGGCAGCAGUGGGGAAUAUUGGACAAUGGGCGAAAGUCUGAUCCAGCCAUGCCGCGUGUGUGAAGAAGGUCUUCGGAUUGUAAAGCACUUUAAGUUGGGAGGCGUUACCAACAGAAUAAGCACCGGCUAACUUCGUGCCAGCAGCCGCGGUAAUAC
rnacentral:rRNA from 1 species